rnacentral:lncRNA from 1 species
CUGGGAUGGUGUCGCCGUGCUCGGUCUCGUUUCCCAGCCGGAGAGGAAGUUCUGCUCCUGGAUUUUAUUCCUUGGCAUGGCUGGGGAUGGGCCCCGUGCCACCGCAGCCUCCUCCUGCCCGGGGGAUUGGGCACACAGCAAGCCCGGCCCUCGGAAUAGCCGCAGGGAGUUUGCGGAGGAGCCUCGGAGAGAAGAGGCAAUUGUCUGCUCACGUGAAGUAUGUGGGGUGUAAUUAUUUUCCGGAGGAAUUAGCUGAAAACAGGAGAAACCAGCACCCCGCUGGCUGGCGGGACUGGGUUUGUGCUUCCUUCCCUUUGCGGGGAGGCAGAAGAAGGGGGACAGGGGUCGGUGAGCGGGGCUGCCCUUAGGGGAGCAAAGAGAUGUGAGGAUGCUGGACCCAAAACCUGCCUCCAGGAGGAACAGCUUGCCCUGCAGGCUGCCUCUCCUCCCUCCCACCACCCUUCCCAGUGGGACAAACUCUGCGUGGGGCCACCUCCGCGUCCCCCCCUCCGUGCCCACGUCCUGGGCUCAGCCGCAGGCGCCAGCAGCUCUGCACCUCGUUGCUUGCACACAGGCACUUCUCAGUUGUGUUUUUUUGUGUUUUUUUUUUUUCUUCUUUUUGGUUGGUUUUGUUUUUUAAUUCUUUCUGCCUGUUCCGAAGAGUUUGCCCCGAGGUGGAACAUGAGGCCGAGCCCCGAACAAGGCAGCUUUCAGGGCAGCAAAGCUCCGCUCGGUGAGCCCAGGGUGCUGGGUGCUGCCCCUGGGUGCUGUCCACUGGGUGCUGUCCGUGGGUGCUGUCCCAAGCCCCCCAGCCAGGCAGGAGCUGGGGCUCAGUCCUGCACUGGAGAGGUGGGAGAAACAAAGCCCCCCCCUCAACCCCGAGGUCAAUAUAAAAGGGUUUGUGUUAAUUCUAGCACUGAUUUAAAUGAAACUCGUUGCAGAUUUGUGCACAGCAAAUGCAAAGGAGAAAAAGGGGGGGAAAAAAAGCACCCAAAGAUUUUUUUUUUAAAUCCUAGAUUCAUUUUUUUUCACCCAAAGAUU